rnacentral:snoRNA from 1 species
UAAUGAAGGAAGCAUGGUAAUGUGCACGGAGAUUGAAUCCUUGAGUCGUCAUGUCUGCUCUCUCUGACGCCCUUCUAGGGUUUAUGAUUAGCGGGCCUGGAUUAGACUCACAUUU